rnacentral:lncRNA from 1 species
GGACUUUGCUUCUCGCCAGGAAAUCGGCGGCGGUGAGUCCCGGCAGAGCGGAGCCGGGUAGCGUCCUCGUUAGCGCGCCCGCGGGGAGCCCGCCGCUUUCCGUCAGUGAGUUACUUCGCCUCAGGCAGACACACACCCUGCAAGUGUUGGACCCAUGAGCCUCUGGGAACAGCCGAUUGACCAUGGGAACAACCAGUGAUGAGAUGGUGCCCGUGCAGCAGGCCUCCUCGGCCUCCUCCCUAGAUCCCCUGUGCUUCGAGUGUGGCCAGCAGCACUGGGCGAGAGAGAACCACUUGUACAACUACCAGGGGGAGGUGGACGACGACCUCGUCUGCCACAUUUGCCUCCAGCCCCUGCUUCAGCCGCUCGACACGCCCUGUGGACACACGUUCUGCCACAAGU